GACGAACGCUGGCGGCGUGCCUAACACAUGCAAGUCGAACGGAGCACUUCGGUGCUUAGUGGCGAACGGGUGAGUAACGCGUGAGAAACCUGCCUUUCAGUGGGGGACAACAGUUGGAAACGACUGCUAAUACCGCAUAAUGUUAUUUGGGGGCAUCCCCGAAUAACCAAAGCUUUAUGUGCUGAAAGAUGGUGUGGCGUCUGAUUAGCUAGAUGGCGGGGUAACGGCCCACCAUGGCGACGAUCAGUAGCCGGUCGGAGAGGAUGAACGGCCACAUUGGGACGGGGAUGCGUCCCAGAAUCCUACGGGAGGCAGCAGGGGGGAAUAUUGGGCAAUGGGGGAAAGCCAGACCCAGCAACGCCGGGUGAAGGAAGAAGGCCUUCGGGUUGUAAACUUCUGUUACCAGGGACGAAGUAAGUGACGGUACCUGGAGAAAAAGCAACGGCUAACUACGUGCCAGCAGCCGCCGUAACAC
rnacentral:rRNA from 1 species